AAGUCGUAACAAGGUUUCCGUAGGUGAACCUGCGGAAGGAUCAUUACAAAUCAAAGGGGGUUUUUAGCCGCCGCGAGGUGGUUUAGCCGCCGUGAGGUGGUUAGGGACCGUCCCACACUAGCACGAGGCCGCAAGGCCUUGAUGUUUACGCUUGUAUGUUUGACAGAGUUUAUUUGUGACACUAAUAAUGACAACUUUUAACAAUGGAUCUCUUGGCUCUU
rnacentral:misc_RNA from 1 species